CCUACGGGUGGCUGCAGUGGGGAAUAUUGGACAAUGGGGGGAACCCUGAUCCAGCGACGCCGCGUGAGUGAAGAAGUACUUCGGUAUGUAAAGCGCUAUCAGCAGGGAAGAAAGAAAUGACGGUACCUGACUAAGAAGCCCUGGCUAAAUACGUGCCAGCAGCCGCGGCAAUACGUAGGGGGCAAGCGUUAUCCGGAUUUACUGGGUGUAACGGGAGCGUAGACGGCGAUGCAAGUCUGAAGUGAAAGGCGGGGGCCCAACCCCAGGACUGCUUUGGAAACUGUAUGGCUGGAGUGCAGGGGAGGUAAGUGGAAUUCGUGGUGUAGCGGUGAAAUGCGUAGAUAUUAGGAAGAACACCGAUGGCGAAGGCAGCUUACUGGACUGUAACUGACGUUGAGGCUCGAAAGCGUGGGGAGCAAACAGGAUUAGAUACCCGAGUAGUC
rnacentral:rRNA from 1 species